rnacentral:rRNA from 1 species
CUUUUUGCCGACUUGUCGGCAGAGGUUCAAGCUAACGCAUUAAGCGGCCGCCUGGGGAGUACGCCGCAAGGUUAAAACUCAAAGGAAUUGACGGGGACCCGCACAACUGGUGGAGCGUGUGGUUUAAUUUGAGACGAAGCAAAAAACCUUACCAGGGUUUGACAUGAUACCGUUUUAUGCCUAUGGAAACACUGGCAGAUCCGCAAGGAUGGUACCACAGGUGCUGCAUGGCUGUCGUCAGCUCGUGUCGUGAGAUGUUCCCUUAAGUGGGGAAACGAGCGCAACCCCCGUGAAAUGUUACAUAUUCAUUUCAGACGGUCCCGAUCAUAUCGGGAAGGAAGGAGGGGAAGACGUCAAGUCAGCAUGGUCCUUACACCCUGGGAUACACACACCCUACAAUGGCGAACAACAAAGGGCUGCAAGCCAGCAAUGGCAAGCUAAUCCCAGAAAUUUCGCCUCAGUUCAGAUUGGGGGCUGCAACCCGCCCCCAUGAAGUCGGAAUCAGUAGUAAUCGCGGAUCAGAAGGCCGCGGUGAAUACGUUCUCGGGUCUUGUACACACCGCCCGUCAAGGCAGCAAAGUCGGGAGUGGAUGAAGGCUAUCGAAAGAUGGACGAGUCCAAGCUUGGCGAUGAAGCUUAAGUCGUAACAAGGUAACC